rfam:Triticum aestivum genome assembly, contig: Triticum_aestivum_CS42_TGACv1_scaffold_499629_6BL
CAAGUACUCCAUCCGUCUGAAAAUACUUGUCAUCAAAAUGGACAAAAAGGGAUGUAUCUACAACUAAAAUACAUCUAGAUACAUCCUCUUUUAUUCAUUUUCAUGACAAGUAUUUCUAGACGGAGGGAGUGCUGG